GGAUUGGUGGUUCAGUGGUAAAAUUCUUGCCUUCCGUGUAGGAGACCCAGGUUUGAUUCCUGGCCAGUUCA
rnacentral:tRNA from 1 species